rnacentral:rRNA from 1 species
UACGAAGGGGGCUAGCGUUGCUCGGAAUCACUGGGCGUAAAGGGUGCGUAGGCGGGUCUUUAAGUCAGGGGUGAAAUCCUGGAGCUCAACUCCAGAACUGCCUUUGAUACUGAAGAUCUUGAGUUCGGGAGAGGUGAGUGGAACUGCGAGUGUAGAGGUGAAAUUCGUAGAUAUUCGCAAGAACACCAGUGACGAAGGCGGCUCACUGGCCCGAUACUGACGCUGAUGCACGAAAGCGUGGGGAGCAAACAGG